CCUACGGGGGGCUGCAGUGGGGAAUAUUGCACAAUGGGCGCAAGCCUGAUGCAGCCAUGCCGCGUGUGUGAAGAAGGCCUUCGGGUUGUAAAGCACUUUCAGCGGGGAGGAAGGCGUUAAGGUUAAUAACCUUGGCGAUUGACGUUACCCGCAGAAGAAGCACCGGCUAACUCCGUGCCAGCAGCCGCGGUAAUACGGAGGGUGCAAGCGUUAAUCGGAAUUACUGGGCGUAAAGCGCACGCAGGCGGUCUGUCAAGUCGGAUGUGAAAUCCCCGGGCUCAACCUGGGAACUGCAUUCGAAACUGGCAGGCUAGAGUCUUGUAGAGGGGGGUAGAAUUCCAGGUGUAGCGGUGAAAUGCGUAGAGAUCCGGAGGAAUACCGGUGGCGAAGGCGGCCCCCUGGACAAAGACUGACGCUCAGGUGCGAAAGCGUGGGGAGCAAACAGGAUUAGAUACCCGAGUAGUC
rnacentral:rRNA from 1 species